GAGCAUCUACCGUUGUAGUCCACACUCAGCAACAGGGAACUCAGGUUGCUGGAAGCGACUCCGAGGGUGGUCUGGACAUCUGUAGUAUCGGUUCUAUUAGUCGAAAGGUUAGUAUAAUUCUGAUCUCCUUGCUUUACACAGUGAAUUGGUGAGGCCAAGAUGUAGAAACUCAGCAGUAUGCAUGACAGAACGAGUCUGUGGUGGUUCUCACUCCUCAAAGGUCGGUCUGCAAUGAUUUGCGAGUUCGGACGCGGUCAGCGUGGACUGCUUCGGUUCAGAUGGGCUGAACAAUGAUUGGUCCUUGUGGGGAGAUGAUCUGGGGAGUGAGAGAUGGGCGACCUAGCAGCAAAUCUUUGAAACAAUACUGACCGGAGCACUGAAUCGCACAGGGUGAAGUAUGCGGAAGUAUGCGGAAGUAUACGAAGUGGCCAAUAGCUCAAGUGCUGUUGCCGCUUCUGCCGUCGCAAAACUUCAUCAAGCACGUUGGCCCUGGAGAGGGAGCUGUGAACUUGUGAAACGUUGUUCAGGAUUAUGUAGUAGCUGGUGGCGCAACUUGUACUGUACACAUAUUCGGCUGGCCAAAGUGUACUUUGUAGCAAUAUCGGUGGGCUCCGCACAUGAAUUGCCUGGUAAUGCUGCUAGAAAUUUGGGAUGCGGAAUGGGUGUAAAUAGUGUGGCAACCUCGAUGAUCCGCAUCAUCUCAAACUAACACGUGUAACAAAACCGCCCUGACGUCAUCCCUGUUGUCACCCCUACCGAUAACCUGUUCUCGAGCUCGAAAUUACACUGCGCGAAAUCGCCAUCACCUCAGAAACUGUUGACCACGUCGUUAGUGCAAAACGAUCCGUAGCUUCGCAAUGUCUCGUUUCGGAGCAUGUGUUCCACUUUUUUGGGCGUGAAAAUCUUGAUGGGCACAUAGAAGUUACGGGGCAAAGUUGCUUGAAUAAGUUGCAAUGGAAUGUUCGAAUUGCCACCUGAAACAUAUUGUUGAACGGUGAGAUUCGAAAGAACUGAACAUCUC
rnacentral:lncRNA from 1 species